UUGCUUCACGAGCACAUAUACUAAAAUUGGAACGAUACAGAGAAGAUUAGCACAGCCCCUGUGCAAGGACGAUACGCAAAUUCAUGAAGCAUUCCCUACUUUU
rnacentral:snRNA from 1 species